AGCGAACGCUGGCGGCAGGCCUAACACAUGCAAGUCGAACGAACUCUUCGGAGUUAGUGGCGGACGGGUGAGUAACACGUGGGAACGUGCCUUUAGGUUCGGAAUAACUCAGGGAAACUUGUGCUAAUACCGAAUGUGCCCUUCGGGGGAAAGAUUUAUCGCCUUUAGAGCGGCCCGCGUCUGAUUAGCUAGUUGGUGAGGUAAAGGCUCACCAAGGCGACGAUCAGUAGCUGGUCUGAGAGGAUGAUCAGCCACAUUGGGACUGAGACACGGGCCAAACUCCUACGGGAGGCAGCAGUGGGGAAUCUUGCGCAAUGGGCGAAAGUCUGACGCAGCCAUGCCGCGUGAAUGAUGAAGGUCUUAGGAUUGUAAAAUUCUUUCACCGGGGACGAUAAUGACGGUACCCGGAGAAGAAGCCCCGGCUAACUUCGUGCCAGCCGCCGCAGUAA
rnacentral:rRNA from 1 species